rnacentral:misc_RNA from 1 species
UUUCCGUAGGUGAACCUGCGGAAGGAUCAUUAUUGAAUGAAUGUAGAGUUGGUUGUCGCUGGCCCUUUCGGGGGUAUGUGCACGCCUUCUCUGUCAUCCACACACACCUGUGCACUUGUGAGACGGAGGGCUUUAAUUAGUCUUCAGUCUAUUCAACCACACAAACUCAUUGUAUUUAAACUGAAUGUAAUUGAUGUAACGCAUCAUUAGAACUAAGUUUCAACAACGGAUCUCUUGGCUCUCGCAUCGAUGAAGAACGCAGC